CUUCUAAAUCAUACAACAAACCCUAUCCUUCCUCUUCCUCUUCUCUGCCGCUGAAGUUCUUCAUCCUUGCAUCUCCCCUUCGCAACCUUCCUCUUCAUCCUCUUUGUGUGCCUCUCCAUGAACUUCAGCUCUGCAUCUCCAUUCCAGGUUUGAUCUACAUUUAGAGGGUUAAUGUCAACACCAAUAAUUUUAGAUUCUCCUCUGGCUCUUGCUCCUUCAGCGACCUGAUCCAGAUUGCAAGCCGCAUUUAGUUGAGUAAUUUGGGGAUUAAGAAACCCCAGUUGAGCAUGAAAAAGGAACAAUUAAAUUAAAUAUUAUAAAGCAAAAUCAUUCAAAUUUAAUUUAAGUUCAUAUUCGUGUUAAUAAAAUUCUAUCUUCUUCGUUCCAUCUUCUAUGCGUGCUGCUGCAUUUUCCCGUAGCCUUCCUCCUCAUCCUCUCCCGUAGCAGCUGCAUCUCCAGGUUCGAUCUUGAUCUUCUCUCAUAGCCGCUGCUUCUCCAGAAGCAAUUGAUUGAGUUGGAUGUGAUGCUACUAGAGCUGCAAAUCGUCGAGUCUUUAGAGUGAGCGAGUUUGCAGAUCCAUUUUGUUUUGAUUCUUAUAUAGUGUGAUAAUAUUUUGGGUUAGAUGUUUUUUGAAGUGGAUUUGAAGCAAAGGUGAGAGAAUGCGAUAAGCCAAGUCUUUAUUUUUUUGCUUAAAUGCUUUAGAUUUGGUGGAAAGAAUUUGCUUCCUGAAUUUGAAAGGCUUUGCUGUAUUAGUUGGAGUUAUAGUUGUGCAGCAACAGUCUUUAAGGAUUUCGUUGUUGGCUAACUAUUUAAGGCUUUCAUCUUCUGUUUCAUGCAACUUUGAAGAGGAUUCGAGGUGGGUUUUUGAUGACUCUGUAAAAUUGUAAUUGUGUGUUGUAGAUGAACACAUUGUGAUGUGCUAGUUGGGGAGUUGGAGAAUCGAACUGUAGAUGGAGCGCAAGUGGUUGUGCAAGAAGAAGUCUCUUCUGUGAAGAGCUCUGGAGAAACUUGUACAAAUAACAAACACCUCUAUGUAAUUCAUUCAUUGUUCAAGGAAUACAAUCUUUAGUCAUUCACUUUCU